rnacentral:rRNA from 1 species
UGGGUCCUCCCCGGCGGGGCGCUUACUGCGUUAGCUCGACCAGAAACCGUGGAAAGGUCCCUACCUCUAGCGCCCAACGUUUACGGCAUGGACUACCAGGGUAUCUAAUCCUGUUCGCUCCCCAUGCUUUCGCUCCUCAGCGUCAGUUACGGCCCAGAGAUCUGCCUUCGCCAUCGGUGUUCCUCCUGAUAUCUGCGCAUUCCACCGCUACACCAGGAAUUCCAAUCUCCCCUACCGCACUCUAGUCUGCCCGUACCCACUGCAAGCCCGAGGUUGAGCCUCGGGAUUUCACAGCAGACGCGACAAACCGCCUACGAGCUCUUUACGCCCAAUAAUUCCGGACAACGCUUGCACCCUACGUAUUACCGCGGCUGCUGGCACGUAGUUAGCCGGUGCUUUUUCUGCAGGUACCGUCACUUUCACUUCUUCCCUACUAAAAGAGGUUUACAACCCGAAGGCCGUCAUCCCUCACGCGGCGUUGCUGCAUCAGGCUUUCGCCCAUUGUGCAAUAUUCCCCACUGCUGCCUCCCGUAGGAGUCUGGGCCGUGUCUCAGUCCCAGUGUGGCCGGUCACCCUCUCAGGCCGGCUACCCGUCGUCGCCUUGGUGAGCCAUUACCUCACCAACAAGCUGAUAGGCCGCGAGUCCAUCCCCAACCAAAAAAUCUUUCCACCACCAGACCAUGCGGCCGGUAGUCAUAUCCAGUAUUAGACGUCGUUUCCAACGCUUAUCCCAGAGUCAGGGGCAGGUUACUCACGUGUUACUCACCCGUUCGCACUAAUCCACCCAGCAAGCUGGGCAUCAUCGUUCGACUUGCAUGUGUUAAGCACGCCGCCAGCGUUCGUCCUGAGCCAGGAUCCAACUCAAG